UACAGAGGUGGCAAGCGUUGUUCGGAAUUACUGGGCGUAAAGGGCGCGUAGGCGGUUCGUUAAGUCCUGUGUGAAAUCCCCCGGCUCAACUGGGGAACUGCACAGGAAACUAGCGGGCUUGAGAUCGGGAGAGGGAAGCGGAAUUCCUGGUGUAGCGGUGAAAUGCGUAGAUAUCCGGAGGAACACCGGUGGCGAAGGCGGCUUCCUGGACCGACACUGACGCUGAGGCGCGAAAGCUAGGGGAGCAAACGGG
rnacentral:rRNA from 1 species